rnacentral:rRNA from 1 species
GUGGGGAAUUUUGGACAAUGGGCGCAAGCCUGAUCCAGCAAUGCCGCGUGCAGGAAGAAGGCCUUCGGGUUGUAAACUGCUUUUGUACGGAACGAAACGGUCCGGGUUAAUACCCUGGGCUAAUGACGGUACCGUAAGAAUAAGCACCGGCUAACUACGUGCCAGCAGCCGCGGUAAUACGUAGGGUGCAAGCGUUAAUCGGAAUUACUGGGCGUAAAGCGUGCGCAGGCGGUUUUGUAAGACAGGCGUGAAAUCCCCGGGCUCAACCUGGGAAUUGCGCUUGGGACUGCAAGGCUGGAGUGCGGCAGAGGGGGAUGGAAUUCCGCGUGUAGCAGUGAAAUGCGUAGAUAUGCGGAGGAACACCGAUGGCGAAGGCAAUCCCCUGGGCCUGUACUGACGCUCAUGCACGAAAGCGUGGGGAGCAAACAGGAUUAGAAACCCGGGUAGUCC